GCUCAGGGGAACAUGUCUGUAGUUGCAGCUACUUGGGAGGCUAAGGCAGGAGGAUUGCUUCAGCCCAGGACUUCUGUGCCAUAGGGCACUAUACCCAUCAGGUGUCAGCACUAAGGUCAGCAUCAAUAUGGUAACCUGAAAGCCAGAGACCACCAGGUUGCCUAAGGAGGAGUGAACCAGCUCAGUGAACCGUUAACAGGUGAAAAUUCCCAUGCUGAUCAGUAGUGGGCUAUGCGUGUGAUAGCCAUUGCACUCCAGCCUGGGAAACAUAGCAAAACACCAUCUCUU
ensembl:misc_RNA Metazoa_SRP Metazoan signal recognition particle RNA